rnacentral:misc_RNA from 1 species
UCUCCGUUGGUGAACCAGCGGAGGGAUCAUUACAGAGUUUUCACAACUCCCAACCCUUGCGAACCGUACCCAUUCUGUUCUCGUUGCUUCCGGCGGGGGGGACGGGGGGGCCCGAACCGGCCUCCCCGCCCCGCCCGCCGGGGGCGGCGGGCCCUACGAACCUUUAUAUCUCAACCACCAGACUCCGUCUGAGAAAACAAACAAAAUAAUCAAAACUUUCAACAACGGAUCUCUUGGCUCUG